GAUGAACGCUAGCGGCAGGCCUAACACAUGCAAGUCGAGGGGGAGGUUACUUUCGGGUAACUGAGACCGGCGUACGGGUGCGUAACGCGUAUACAAUCUGCCUUUCACUGGGGGAUAGCCCGAAGAAAUUUGGAUUAAUACCCCAUAGUAUAGUAAUACGGCAUCGUGAUGCUAUUAAAGCUUAGGUGGUGAAAGAUGAGUAUGCGUUCUAUUAGCUAGUUGGAGAGGUAACGGCUCCCCAAGGCGAUGAUAGAUAGGGGUUCUGAGAGGGAUGUCCCCCACACUGGUACUGAGAUACGGACCAGACUCCUACGGGAGGCAGCAGUGAGGAAUAUUGGACAAUGGUCGGCAGACUGAUCCAGCCAUGCCGCGUGCAGGAUGAAGGUCUUAUGGACUGUAAACUGCUUUUGUAAGGGAAGAAUAAGGGCUACGCGUAGUUUGAUGACGGUACCUUACGAAUAAGCAUCGGCUAACUCCGUG
rnacentral:rRNA from 1 species